GGAUCAUGGCAGCAACUGUCUGGAUCUGCACGGAGCCAGACACGCUGGUCUGAGUGGCACGGAGCUGGAUGCUAUCCUCGGUGAUGACCCCACCACCAUCACCAAGAUCCCCGUGGAUACUUCAGAGGGCACGGAGGUGGCAGAAAGAGGACCUAACCCGGAGGACAAAGUUAUUGAUGAAAAGGUGAAGUUAGAUGAGGAUGUGCAGCUCCCAGAGGGGUUCCCCGAUGGGACAGGCAGCCAGGAACUGUUCUCCACUCCAGAGGUGUCUAGCCAGCCUCAGCAGUUGCUUUCCGGCAAGCAAGAAGCAGGAGAUGAGACUCCUGAUGUGGCAUGACAGACUCAGGAACACCCCACACAUCCUGACUGAACAUCUCCACCAGAUAAGAAAGCACCCAAGACACAGCAAAGAAGAUUUGUUCCGGGAGGUCCUGCAGCAUUCCAAUGCAGAAAAAAAAAGGAACAAAAGGAGUGCUGGGAAGCUGAACGGCAGGACAGAAAAGAGAAUCACAUGUUUGUUAAGGAUGCUACCGAGCGGAUGAUUAAAGUGAUGGAGGAGCAAAUGCAGAUGCUGAAAUUCUCAAUAAUGCUGCAGACUGAGCAGAUCAGUGCUCAACCUCCACUGCAGCACAUUCAGAACUCUUUUCCAUGUCCUCUCCCAGACUCUGCCCACACAUUCCUUUCCACAUUCCAGGACUUUUUGGUUUCCCUUUCACAUGAUAGCGGGACCUACA